CCGACUGCUAUUUGGGUGAGGAUAAGCCAUGCGAGUUGAAUGGGAAACCUAAAGUUCCCAUGGCAAACUGCUCAGUAACACAUGAUCAACUUACCCUAUAGAGAAAAAUAACCUCGGGAAACUGAGGAUAAUGUUUCAUAGUUGAAUUGGCUUGGAAAAGUUUUUCGACGAAAGGGGUAAAAAAAAUGGUUUUUAUCUGCUAUAGGAUAGGAUCGUGGUCGAUUAUGGUUGUUGGUGAGGUAACGGCUCACCAAGCCGAUAAUCGAUAGGGGCCGUGAGAGCGGGAGCCCCGAGAUGGGUACUGAGACAGCGACCCAGGCCUUACGAGGCGCAGCAGGCGCGAGACCUCCGCAAUACACGAAAGUGUGACGGGGUUACCCAAAGUGUCCAUAUUUGGACUGUGGUAGGUGAGUAAUGUCCCCUACUAGAAAGGAGAGGGCAAGGCUGGUGCCAGCCGCCGCGGUAAAACCAGCUCUUCAAGUGGUCGGGAUAAUUAUUGGGCUUAAAGUGUCCGUAGCCGGUUUAGUAAGUUCCUGGUAAAAUCGGGUAGCUUAACUAUCUGUAUGCUAGGAAUACUGCUAUACUAGAGGACGGGAGAGGUCUGAGGUACUACAGGGGUAGGGGUGAAAUCUUAUAAUCCUUGUAGGACCACCAGUGGCGAAGGCGUCAGACUGGAACGUGCCUAACGGUGAGGGACGAAAGCCAGGGGAGCGAACCGGAUUAGAUACCCGGGUAGUCCUGGCCGUAAACGAUGCAUACUAGGUGAUGGCAUGGCUAUGAGCCGUGUCAGUGCCGUAGGGAAACCGUUAAGUGUGCCGCCUGGGAAGUACGGUCGCAAGGCUAAAACUUAAAGGAAUUGGCGGGGGAGCACCACAAGGGGUGAAGCCUGCGGUUC
rnacentral:rRNA from 1 species